ACACACACACACACACAAACCUCAGACAAACCUCACACAAACACACACACACACACACACACAAUCGAUGUUGCUAAAAUGAUAUGCACCUAAUGCAAAAAAAAAGAAGGCUUUAAAAUAUCAAAUUUAGUGUGCAUGCAUACCAAUCAUGUUCUGUUUAAUUUGAGUCUGCAAUUUUCUGGAAGUCAUUAUACUCUUUCUCUGUCUCUGCAAUUAUACCACUCUGCACAGCACUCCCAGUUACACUAAAGCAAGGUUGACCUAUAUGCUAACAAUGUACUACGUUUAGGGAGAAAAAUUCCAGACUGGCCUUCAAGCUGCUUCCCUUGGGGUUUCCACGGAUAAGCGGGGUCACAGCGGGCGUCUUAGCCUGGGUGAGAUGGGUGGUGGGUGGACAAGGGCAAGAAUGGAGGAAAGGAUCCUCUUUACAUUUAAACCUUAUUUCUCACACAUUUCUACUUGGUGCUAUUGCACAGUGUAAAAUAAACCCCUGCCAUUGGAAUAGGUCAUUUUAACGAAUACAUUGCAGGGAGAUUCUGUAGAAGGAAAUCUGUAUCGACUGAGCAGCUCCCACAGAGUUUGGUUAUGUACAAUCUGUAAAAGCCCCACUAUGGAUGUUUUUCGUCAAAACAGCCAGUAAGUAGAUAAGUUGUAUUCUUCAGAGAAAAUAAAACUGGAAGAGUGAGUGGGAGAGAGGAGGAAAAGAAGUGGUAGGCCUCACUCAGUUUAUUGCUUAUAUAGCAAACAAAGAAUCCUGGAAGCCUGCGCGCGAUCAAUCUUACUCGCCAAAAGGUCUGACAGCUCGGUGCCCUCAGAACACAUUUAAGGCUUCUAACUCUCCCCCGGAUCAAAUGCAGCCAGGAAGCGGCGAGCAACGCUGGCCAUUUAGAUUAUAACACGUUUCUGUUCGCUGUCACAUAUUUUCUGUCGCUUAAGGGAUGUUGUAAGACAUUUAAAAUAGAAGGAACAUUUUGCAGAAGGGCAAAUGCGCGUAAAUGAUACUGCAGAAGCUCCUCGUGACACUUUUAUUAUUAUGGAUGCGCCCAUGCGGAGGAGGCUCUGGAACAAGGCCACCGCGAGAUCUUCUGAUGUGCCCACGCGCUAAAGGAGACAAAACGAGAGGACUUUGUACAAUGUUUUCGGGAUUUAUUGUCACUAUCAAAUAAACAAUUAUGUUAUAAAUUA